rnacentral:tRNA from 1 species
CGAAUAGCUCAGUCGGUAGAGCAGAAGACUGAAAAUCUUUGUGUCGGUGGUUCGAUUCCACCUUCGGC